AAGUCGUAACAAGGUUUCCGUAGGUGAACCUGCGGAAGGAUCAUUAAAGAGUUAGGGUCUCACAGGCCCGAACCUCCAACCCUUUGUUGUUAUAACUACCUCGUUGCUUUGGCGGGACCGCUCGGUCCCCGAGCUGCCGGUCUUAGGCCCGGCAUGCGCCCGCCAGAGUCUACUCAAACUCUUGUUUUAACCGGUCGUCUGAGUAAAAUUUUUGAAUUAAAUCAAAA
rnacentral:misc_RNA from 1 species